rnacentral:lncRNA from 1 species
GCGAGUUUCCGAUGCCCACCACCGUACUGGUGGUCGCCGGAGGCUCCUCGUCGGCGAGGACGACCUCGCCGCCGGUGGAUCUCAGCUGGCCUGAGCCACUGACGUGUGGGGCCAGCCUUUGUAUAAUCUGGAAUAAUAAAAAUAAAAUCAAAUAAUCUAAUAAGUCACUGACAUGUGGGUCCAGUGAGGUUAAUUAGCUAAUUAAGAUUAAUUCUAAUCUAAAACUGACCAGAGUCACUGACCAGUGGGUCCCACUGGUCAGGUUUGACUUUCAACGGCCAGUUGGACCUGCUGAUGGCAUGCUAAUGCAAUAAAGAGUUUUGUGAUUUAAAAGAAUUCCAAAAAAUGCCAAAACUUCAAAAAAUCAUAGAAAUUAAUCUGUAACUCCAAUGAAAAUAAUUUAUAUAUGAAAAAGUAUCAGAAAAA